AUGAAAAUCAGUAAACAGAGCCAAGAGCCUAAAAUACAGAGCCUCGCGCACAGGCUGUCAGCACACAGAGCCCAGGGACAUCAACCCCUGCCCCAGCCAGGCGGGGACGGUGCCGCCCCUGCCUCUGCACAGGGGGAGCCACGGCAGCGACCAGAGGCUGCAGCAGUCUCAGGCUCCUCUGUCCUGCCCCUGCUGCUGAGAAGCCAGGGCCCUACCUUUCAGGGUGAAAACAAAGGCUUAACAACAACAACAGAAAGUUCUGACGCAGUAACUGUGAAAAAGGCUUGGCUUGAAGGCAGAAAGGAGGAAGGGAGGGAUGAACAAGCAGAGCGAAAAGAGGCAGGAACACAGGAUACUCGCAGAACCGCCCAGGCUCCCCUGCCCCUGUGCUGCUCAGCGGGGUCUCGGCAGCCCCCCCGCCCCUGCCGCGGGGCGCUGUGCUGUGCCCACCUCCUCCUCCAGCCCUGGGCACAGCGAGCAGCUCAGCGACGUGCAGCUCUCACGGCUCCGGCAAAAGCAAACACCUGCACAGACCGCAAAAAGCGAGACGGAAUGAAAGACUACAAGGAGCAAAAUCCUCGAGUCCGAGCUAGCACACAGACACGCUGUUCCCGGGAAGAGGAAAUGCCUGCCUUCCCCUCCCCAGAAGUGAAAAUCAAACUCCACGCUGAUGUCAAAGGCCAGCAGUUCCCACUCCAUCCUUGUCAUGUCCAGGUCACCAGACAGGCCUUUGGAGCCUCUUGUCUGGCGAGAGUCGUUCAUCCGACUGCAGCCAACGCUCUCCACCUCGACAUUAGAAAGCAAACACUGCGCCCGUCCAGAGAGGGAGGGCGGCUUGGCUUUCCCCGUCCGCGAAGCCACGGCCACCAGGGCCAGCCGGCAAACGCUCACCGCGUGCCCACAGCACGUCGCCCGCCCGGCCCGCGGAGGCCGUGGCUCAGGCGGCCGGCCCCGGGCAGCAGCCGUGGGGCCAGGCCCGGGCUCCACGCACCCAGGGCCCACGCGCUGCUCCCGGCGUCGCCCGCGCGGCAGGGUGGCACCCGGCCGCCACGUGCAGCGGUGCUGCUGCGGGGGGAGCGGGUGGGCAGGUCAGACACCCGAAAUGCGGAGAAUAAAGGCCUUUUGCUAAAGCUCCAGGAAGCAAAGAGAAAAAAACGCUAA
rnacentral:lncRNA from 1 species